CAGCAGCAGCUGCUGGAGGCUGAUGCUGCUCCCGGGGAGCUCAGAACGGAUGGUCUGCCGGGGUGAGCAGGAGGAAGAUCUCCUGAAAGCGCACACAGCUCGAUCUUCCACAUCAGGAGACCUGACCGUGAACACCUUUGACACCCACCUGAGGGAGACGCUGCCUAAGAUCUCAAGGCUGCUUGGUCGUGGUCUUUGUGGUCCUGCUGGAGAACAUCUUCAUCAACUACGUCUUCUUUUGAAGAGGCCCUCAGAUGCUGCAAUCUCUGACCUUAAGGAGGAACUGCUACUUUCACUCUGUAACGAGACGGCCGUUAUUUUAAAGACCCAGCUCCUGGCGGCUUUGAGUGAAAACUUAACAUCCAUCAAAACGGAACUGCAGAAAGUUAAAUCUGAGCUGUCAGUCAGUCUUUCAAACAUCAAGUCCGACCUGGGUGCCCUAAAGCACGCUGUGGGUGAAACGGAAACUUCACUCUCCACAUCACCAACGACAUCGUCACACUCCAAAGCAGAGCACCUAUCUGCUGAACUUUUAAGAGUGGACUAUAAAGGUGAAGAAUGUGAGCAGCGGAACAGAUGUGUUCAGAAAGAAGUCAUUUUCUUAGUUACAGCAUUUGCAACUUGCUAGCUGUGCUGUUUCAAACUGUGUCUAUUAAUUGGUCAUCCCUACUUAAAACCCUCUCUUUGUUCUUAGUAUCUUUGCACUUUACAUAUUACAACCUAACAGGCAAGAGUUAAAAAUCAGCCCUUAGGCUAACACUGGUACAUUAACAGUGAUCACUGUGCAUUAUUCCUGCAAAAAAAAAAAAGGUAAUGAAUAAAAUGAAAAAAAUAUUUAAAUGUGUGAGAGAUUUAGCAGAGCCUGACUUCAUUUGUAACUUCAGCCAUUCUUUUUACAUUGAUGUGCUUUAUAAUUAAAUGCAGUGUGUGUUGCUUUUCUUAACCUUUUCAUUUUUAAUUUUUACUUCACAAACGUUAUUUUUUUGGGGGGCAAUUUUUUUGUACUGACAGAAAAACAAAAUCAAUUCACUGUGAUAGUUUCAUUUGUGCAUUUGCAAAAUUUAAUAAAACUGGACACUUACUCAUGAUUUACUGUCUAAUAAUUCUGGGACGAGAUCAAGAUCAGUAAAAGAUACCCGGGUUGAAUGUAAUAAUCUUGAAAUAAAGAGAUACUAAGUCAUAAUUAUGCAUGGAUUUUUUGUAAACACAAUGCCGUUACACACUUAAUAAAUAAAAUCCAAUUUUUUUAAUGACUGAAUUUUAA